GUUCUCACUUCGGCAGCACGUAUACUAAAAUUGGCACGAUACAGAGAAGAUUAGCACAGCCCCUGUAUAAGGAUGAUACACAAAUUCGUGAAGCAUUCCAUAUUUUU
rnacentral:snRNA from 1 species